GACUGACUGGUGCCUCAAUUUUCCUGCCUUAACCUGUUAAUCCGCUGCUACAUCAGAGCCAGCCCUGCAGCCCAGCCUUCAACAUGAGCAACUCCUGCUCUCUGUAGCUCCAGCCCCAGCCUGGACCUAUCUUUCAGAGCCAUAAUGCUGAGACAGUCCCUGAGUCUUGGAUGAACAUGGACUCACCGUGUCUACACCGGACGGUUUCUGUUUGCACAACAUUGAGUAAACUUCACAUCCAUCGGGGAAGUCACCCUUUGGAAUUACUGAUGAAGUGAGGAGAGGAUGCUGUUCUGAGAGCUGCUGAUAAUACGUGGAUCCAAACCCACAGGCUUGAGCUGCUUAAUUGAAAUUCACGUCAAAAUGGAAUUCUGGUUUAGCUCAACUUGACUACUAUGGAUGAUGAAAAUAAAUCCCUGGGUCACACAAGGAUAGUGAUUGAGUAGAGCUUGUUUGCUGGCACAGGAAUGACAUUUCAACUGGAAUUAAAUUGUCGUCAGUUAACAGA
rnacentral:lncRNA from 1 species